rnacentral:rRNA from 1 species
GUCUACAGCCAUACCACCCUGAAAUGCGCCCAAUCUUAUCUGAUCUCAGAAGCUAAGCAGAGUUGGGCCUAGUUAGUAUUUUUAAUU